rnacentral:tRNA from 2 species
AGGGUUUUAGUUUAAAAAAAAUAUAAGUUUUGCAUACUUGAGAUAAAAGCUCUA